AUUGAACGCUGGCGGCAGGCCUAACACAUGCAAGUCGAGCGGAUGAAGGGGGCUUGCUCUCUGAUUUAGCGGCGGACGGGUGAGUAAUGCCUAGGAAUCUGCCUGGUAGUGGGGGAUAACGUUCCGAAAGGAACGCUAAUACCGCAUACGUCCUACGGGAGAAAGCAGGGGACCUUCGGGCCUUGCGCUAUCAGAUGAGCCUAGGUCGGAUUAGCUAGUUGGUGAGGUAAUGGCUCACCAAGGCGACGAUCCGUAACUGGUCUGAGAGGAUGAUCAGUCACACUGGAACUGAGACACGGUCCAGACUCCUACGGGAGGCAGCAGUGGGGAAUAUUGGACAAUGGGCGAAAGCCUGAUCCAGCCAUGCCGCGUGUGUGAAGAAGGUCUUCGGAUUGUAAAGCACUUUAAGUUGGGAGGAAGGGUUGUAGAUUAAUACUCUGCAAUUUUGACGUUACCAACAGAAUAAGCACCGGCUAACUUCGUGCCAGCAGCCGCGGUAACAC
rnacentral:rRNA from 1 species